AACCACCCUCUGGGGAAGACAGACCUUGACUUCAGCUUGAGAGUACUUGAAAGAGUGACCAUAACACCACAGGAAAGGGCAAAUAUUAACAGGCUCUCUCAUCACUGGAACUCCAGGUGUUGUAUAGGACUUGUUCAUUCAGCCUGUGAGAGUGGCAGAGAUGUCAACAAAUAAAUAGACAUAGUACUUUAUACCACUUGAUACUCCUUCUUUGAAGUAUGAUUCAAGUGCAGAAUGAAGAUACAUGCGCUGCUAAUGCCAAGGCUGCAU